UAGGGAAUCUUCCACAAUGGACGCAAGUCUGAUGGAGCAACGCCGCGUGAGUGAAGAAGGCUUUCGGGUCGUAAAACUCUGUUAUUGAAGAAGAACGUGCGUGACAGUAACUGGUCAUGCAGUGACGGUAUUCAAUCAGAAAGUCACGGCUAACUACGUGCCAGCAGCCGCGGUAAUACGUAGGUGGCAAGCGUUGUCCGGAUUUAUUGGGCGUAAAGCGAGUGCAGGCGGUCUUUUAAGUCUGAUGUGAAAGCCUUCGGCUUAACCGAAGAAGGGCAUCGGAAACUGGGAGACUUGAGUGCAGAAGAGGAGAGUGGAACUCCAUGUGUAGCGGUGAAAUGCGUAGAUAUAUGGAAGAACACCAGUGGCGAAGGCGGCUCUCUGGUCUGUAACUGACGCUGAGGCUCGAAAGCGUGGGUAACAAACAGGAUUAGAUACC
rnacentral:rRNA from 1 species